rnacentral:rRNA from 1 species
UACAGAGGUCUCAAGCGUUGUUCGGAUUCAUUGGGCGUAAAGGGUGUGUAGGUGGCGCGCUAAGUCGGGUGUGAAAUUUCGGAGCUUAACUCCGAAACUGCAUUCGAUACUGGCGUGCUUGAGGACUGGAGAGGAGACUGGAAUUUACGGUGUAGCAGUGAAAUGCGUAGAUAUCGUAAGGAAGACCAGUGGCGAAGGCGGGUCUCUGGACAGUUCCUGGCACUGAGACACGAAGGCCAGGGGAGCAAACGGG